UACGGGGGGGGCAAGCGUUGUUCGGAAUUACUGGGCGUAAAGGGCUCGUAGGUGGCCAACUAAGUCGGACGUGAAAUCCCUCAGCUUAACUGGGGAACUGCGUCCGAUACUGGAUGGCUCGAGUUUGGGAGAGGGAUGCGGAAUUCCUGGUGUAGCGGUGAAAUGCGUAGAUAUCAGGAGGAACACCGGUGGUGUAGACGGCUUUCUGGACCGUAACUGACGCUGAGACACGAAAGCGUGGGUAGCAAACAGG
rnacentral:rRNA from 1 species